rnacentral:rRNA from 1 species
AUUGAACGCUGGCGGCAGGCCUAACACAUGCAAGUCGAACGGUAACAGGAAGAAGCUUGCUUCUUUGCUGACGAGUGGCGGACGGGUGAGUAAUGUCUGGGAAACUGCCUGAUGGAGGGGGAUAACUACUGGAAACGGUAGCUAAUACCGCAUAACGUCGCAAGACCAAAGAGGGGGACCUUCGGGCCUCUUUCCAUCGGCUUUUCCCAGGUGGGAUUAGCUAGUAGGUGGGGUAACGGCUCACCUAGGCGACGAUCCCUAGCUGGUCUGAGAGGAUGACCAGCCACACUGGAACUGAGACACGGUCCAGACUCCUACGGGAGGCAGCAGUGGGGAAUAUUGCACAAUGGGCGCAAGCCUGAUGCAGCCAUGCCGCGUGUAUGAAGAAGGCCUUCGGGUUGUAAAGUACUUUCAGCGGGGAGGAAGGGAGUAAAGUUAAUACCUUCGCUCAUUGACGUUACCCGCAGAAGAAGCACCGGCUAACUCAGUG